rnacentral:rRNA from 1 species
AUUGAACGCUGGCGGAAUGCUUUACACAUGCAAGCCGAGCGGCAGCACGGGGUCAACCCUGGUGGCGAGCGGCGGACGGGUGAGUAAUACAUCGGAAGAUGCCCAGUCGUGGGGGCUAACACUUCGAAAGAAGUGCUAAUACCGCAUACGUCCUGAGGGGGCAAGCGGGGGAUCGCAAGACGUCGCGCGAUUGGAGUGGCCGAUGUCAGAUUAGCUAGUUGGUGGGGUAAAGGCCUACCAAGGCAACGAUCUGUAGCUGGCCUGCGAGGGAGCUCAGCCACACUGGGGCUGAGACACGGCCCAGAGGCGUACAGGAGGGAGCGGUGGGGCAUGUUGGAAAACGCGAGCAACCCUGAUCCAGACCUGCCGCGUGAGUCAAGAAGACCCGCCGGGUGUGAAGCUCUUGCGGCGGGGACAAAACGGCGGGCAAUAGAAGAGCGCGCUUGUGACGGUACCUGGAGAAGAAGGACCGGCGAGCUACGUG